GGGUGAUGGGUGAGUCACUUACACGUCUCUGGCCUGUUUGAUUGGGAACUCGCCAAUGACAGUGACGUGUGAACACUACUGACUGAAUAGAAGCACAAGCCUGACAUCUAGUGGGGGGAGGACAUAACAGCAUCAUGCACUGUCACCAUGGAAACAAGGGGCAGAAUGAUUGUUGGAGGCAACAAUGUGUAUCUGCUUACCCUUCCCUGGGACACAGUGUCGCUACUAGGGGAUCAAUGUCCAUUGAGCUUGGAAGAAAAGGGGCAGGCAGGCAGCCAAGCAGCCGACUGGAGGAAGCCCUCAGCCUCAGCUCGAGUGACGCUGUCACUUAAGAGGUCCCAGCAGGCCCUGCAGAGACAGAGAGGGAUGCGCUGCCCGAUGCUGGAGCCAUGUCCUUUCACACAGAAACAUGGACCAAUGGUCCUCAAAGGUUGAAGAGGACAGAGGUAAUAGAUAUUUCUACCUCCGGUUCAUGACAGGAAAAACCUACACUGCCACUGACAGUUAGCCUAAUUGUCAGUCAGAUAUAAUGACACAUCACUUGGAGAAGUGCAGGAGAUCUCAAUUCAAGAAAGACAAAGUAACAUUUGAAAUAACACAUUCUUCCUUGUACACAUAAAAACUUGAAUCCAUAAACAAUAAAGUGGAUGCCCUGUUCAAUACCUAUGAGGGUUGCAACAGGCUUUCUUGGUCUGGUGUGACCAUUGUGUUGGUUAAUGUUAUUUUUAAUUCUUUAUUUUUGCGUUACUGCACUGAAUCAGUUCACUUACAUUAUGACCAGCACUGUGUCUGAUACAGUUUUACAUUAACAGCUAGAGUAAGAAUUGUGAUUUGUUAUUUAGUAAUCACAUUACAGUGGGGGCCAGUUGUAAAAGGGCUCAUUUUAAUACACUCAGUUCCUCCAGCCAGAAAGAGACUAGAAUGAUGAUACAUACUCUGCAUAUUCUCUCUCUCUUUGCCUGUGGAAAAGGAGCAGCAUUAUGUCAUCUUUGCAUUAGUUCUCAAAGAAAAUAAAGUUA